rnacentral:rRNA from 1 species
CCUACGGGAGGCAGCAGUAGGGAAUUUUCGGCAAUGGGGGGAACCCUGACCGAGCAACGCCGCGUGAACGAAGAAGUUAUUCGUAAUGUAAAGUUCUUUUAACAGGGAAGAAAGAGAAAUUUGACGGUACCUGAAGAAUAAGCUCCGGCUAACUACGUGCCAGCAGCCGCGGUAAUACGUAGGGAGCGAGCGUUAUCCGGAAUUGUUGGGCGUAAAGGGUGCGUAGAUGGCAUAGUAAGUCUUUUGUAAAAAUGCUGGGCUAAAACCAGUAGGGCAAAAGACACUGCAAAGCUAGAGUAUGAAAGAGGAAAGUGGAACUACAGGUGGAGCGGGAAAAUGCGUAAAUAUAUGUAAGAAAACGAGGGGCGAAGGCGGUUUGCUGGGUCGAUACGGACAUGGAGGCACGAAAGCGUGGGGAGCAAACAGGAUUAGAUACCCGAGUAGUC